ACAAGAUGCGCGCUGUGCUAUUGGCCGUGACUAGAGGCGCGCAGAGAUGACGUAAGGGAUCGCUGUUCAACUUCGGUACUUGGGAGGAUCGCUUGGACACCAUUGGGAAAAGCCAUUGAAAAGGUCGUAAGACUGCAGUUCAUUCAGAAGAAAGGAACAGAGCUAAUUAAUCGAGAAAAUGCCUCCUCUUGAUACUGAUGUACUGAACUAUUGCAGUCUACAGAUCUACAGCCGACUUGCGGAAAUUAUUGGCCUUGGUAAUAGAGAAUUCAUUACCCACCCUGCCUUAGUUGUAAAGCAGGUGUUGUGUGACCACAUGAAAGAGAUCGAGGCCUCUUUAAAGGAAGCACAGAAGAAGGGUCGGUUACAACAUAAAAUUUCUCAAGUAAAUGGAAAAUAAGUGAAAUUCUCACAGAAUGCAGAGGAAAAGGCCAAAGAAAUAAGAUAAGGAAAGAAGAGAAAAGGAGAGAUGUAGAGGGCUUGUCCAGGAGAUACAAUCUACGUGUAAUAGGAAAACCUGAAAGAGAGUACAAAGCAAAUGAAGCUGAAACAAUAAUUACAGAGCUAAUUGAAGAAAAUUUUCCAGAGUUGAAGAACGAAGUAGACCUGAAAAUGAAGAAGGCUCACAGGGUACCUUUAAAAUUUAAGUAGAAGAAAGCAACACCUAGCCAUGUCCUUGUGACUUUUAAAUUUCAAGCAUAAAGAAAAAAAUUUGCAAGUAUCCAGAGAAAACAGGUUACAUAUAAAGGGGCAAAAGUCAGACUGACCUCAGAUUUUUCUCUUACAAUUCUAAAUACCAAAAAACAAUGGAACAUUUACAGAAUUUUAAGGGAAAAUAAUUUUGAACCAAGAAUUAUAUACCCUUCCAAAUUAGUAUUUGUGUAUGAAGGCAACUGGAAGACAUUCUCAGAUACUAAGGGGUUAAGAAAGUAUAUCGGCAGGGCCGGGGUUUCAGUGGCACCGCUCCUGCCUCGAAAGUGGAAGGUCCUGACUUCGAUCCUCAGUACCAAAAAAAUAUAUAUACCAACAAAGAACCUCCUCUGAAAACUUUUAUGAACGAUUUACUGCAUCCAACAGAAAAAUUAAAUAGGAUAGGGGGGAUAAUUGUAAGGACAAUUUAAUGACUAAAACUAAUUAAGAAUAUGAAAUCUAAAAUUGUUACAUUUAGGGUAAUAAACCUAAAUGCUAAAUGGAUUUGUAAGCUAGAUCUAAAAUUUUCAGUUUAUAUAGUUUUAAAUUGUCAAAAUGCAUACCGAAUAGUCAGUGUCAAUAAAUGUCUUAUUUUUAUUUUAUGUAUUUAUUUAUUUAUUUAUCUUGGUGCGAGGAUCAAACUCAGGAUCUUGCAGUUGCGAGGCAGGCAGGGCGCCACUGAGCUAAAUCCCCGGUCUAAUAGUGCUUUAUUUUUGCUGUGUAAUACAAAGAUGGAUGUUAAGCCAAAUGUAUGUUAAAUAGAAGUGCCAGGACAAGUAUAGAAAAGACAUUCUAAAUGUUAAGCUGAAGCAAUUGGAAAGUAGUAGUUUUAGUUCCUUAAAAACUAACAAGUUCAUAAUGUUAAUACUAAUAAUGUAAGGAGAAAAUUUCCAAAGCCCUUGUUGGAGAGGGGUGGAUAUGUUUGAAAUGCUGAUUGGUUUGUAGAAGUCAAUUUGUCAUUAAGUUGUGGACAAAAAUAGAGUAUAUACAUUCCAGGUUUCUGGAACAGAAAACAAGUGAAAACCCAAGGAAAAGUAGCAAAAGAAAAAUACCAAGUGUUAAAAUUUACGUAACAGGUAUUGACAGAAAUAGAGUUAAACUCACAAACUGGUUAAAUUUCCAAUUAAUAAGAUCUAAAUUGAAUAACAGAAGUCAAUCUCUGAUUUAGAUACUCACAUUUGUAUAAAACAAAGGUUAAAGGGGUUUAAAGGGAAUAGAAACUCUUUUAUCCUUAGGUCUCUAUGCCACCAAGGGAUUCAAUGUAAUACAUAAUUUGAAGCUGAUUUUAGUUCCUGAUCCCAACAUCCCGUGGAAAGAAAAAUCAUUCUGCAUGAAUGUUAUUGACUAUUUCUCAAUUUGGUAAAAUUUGAGGAAUUUAAGUGAAUAAAAUUAACAAAGGGUAAGAAAAAUUACAAAUUGGGGUGGUAUGCUUCUGCCACCCCUUCUCUCACAUACCAUCCCGUACAUACUAAAACAGAGGCAAGAAUAUUGACAGUAAUGACUUGAAACUUUGACAACCUGUGAAAAAUAAAUCUUACUUGUAUAUUCUAAGUACACUUUGGGCCAGAUGUAAAUUGUAUUAGUUGAAUUUCAUGAUUUGCUUGUUCCCUUACUCCUUUGCAAAAACAGUUUUGGCUUCACUUUUCCAAAUGUACGGCUCUCCCUGUUUAUCUUCCAUCUUCAAAACAUUUCCUCCUAGUGCACCAGGGAUUGUGAUCAGAGAUCCUUCAUUGUAUUGCUGCCAGUAAACUGCUUCGUAUUUAGGGAAUAAACAUGGAGUAAAAGAUAACAAGGAAGUAAGGUUAUAGAGGAAACUGAGCAGUUGGAAACAAUAUGAUUAGAAGAUCACAAUUUAUAACGAUAAGUUGUAGCUAGGGUUCAAAUAAGAAAUAGGGAAAUUCUGUUGAAAAUCAACUCCAUUGUUUCUUGUAAUAAUUACUUCUUGCCCCAACAAAUUACAAUAGUAUGGAUGAUGCACCAGCUAAUAAAAUUUUCAUAGUAGAACUGUUAUUUAUGUAGGGAUUCAUGUUACACUGGACUUUCACUUGGUUAAAAAAAGAUUUUGGGGGCUGGAGAUUCAGCUCAGUGGUGCUGCCGCCUGUCUCGCAAGCGCAAGGUCCGGAGUUUGAUCCCUGGUACCAAAAAAAAAAAAAAAAAUCCGAUUUUUACUUCAAUCAGUAUAGCUAUCAGUAGGAAAAAGAAAAUUUUAAUUGUGUUAUUUUGUCAAGGGCUGAAAGCCUUAGGACAUGUAAUUUUGGCGUUGCAUUUCUGCUAGCAUUUUGAUUAAAUUGAAACUAGGUAAUUAGUGGUGCCUGUUUUGAUUAACAAGGUAAGUGGAAUUAAGAAUAAAAAGCCCUGGGAAAGGGGGGAAAAAAACACAUGAAAGAGUUUCAACAUUUUCAUAGUUGUUUUUUUUUUUAAAGAAAAAUGUAUAAAUACAAGCUACAAAUUACAAUAUUUAGAUUCCUUAUUAAAGAUAAGCUGUAAAUUAUCAAAGAGAAAAAGUGAAGAUUAUAUCAUUAGUUUUAACAGUAUUAAAGUUUCCAUUAUAAUCAUUUGUCCACUUAAUAUUGUUCUUAAACAUGUUUCUUCAGAUAAUUCCAGUGUUUUAUCCAUGUAUAGUAGUUACUUUUUUCUUUUACUAUAUAAGUUAUCCUUAAAAUAGUACAUGAAAAUAUUUUCUUUCAUAGUAUUUACUUGUUAUAUUUAACAUUACUAAUUAUUUGUAAAUGAAGUGUUUUCUUUUUAUGAGUGUGUUACAUUUCCCAAUUCCAGGCCCCAGAUAGGACCACUGUGAAUACAUCCACUUAUUAAUACUAUAAUAGAAAUAACAACAGCUUGAUCCUUAGCAGCAAUAUUAGUUUGCUUGGCCUGGAGAAACAAAUUACCAAAAGCUGAAUGGUUUAAAAUAAAACAAAUUGGAUCUUCUCAUCAUUCGGACAGCCAAAGUAAUCAAGGUGUAGACAAGGCUGUGCUCCCUCUGAAAGCACUAGGGCUCUAAGACUUACCAUUUCUCUUCCUUAAAUUUUUUUGGCUCUUUUGUUUCUAGGUGAAAAUUGUGACUAGUGACUUAAGGCCUUCUUUCUUAUAUAAGGAGUUUCAUAGUAUAAUUAUUUGGUCAGGAUUACUUUAUCCUACAAAUGUUGAUAAAUGUCUUCACAUUUUUUUAAUUCAGCAUACUUUGUAAUUUCUCUUGAUUUCUUGUUUAAUACAUGAGUCAUUUAGAACGUGGCAUUGUUUAAAGGUAAAUACUUUUGACCUGUUUUCAGAUUGUAGUUCCAAAAAAUAAAGAGUUCCUGUGAACACUUCAGGCCGCUUGAUGGUAUAUGAUCAAAACCAAGAAAUUGUCUGAUACAAUAUCACUAACCAUAAAGCUUAUUUAGAUUUCACUGUUUUUAUAAACAUAUGUUUUGUGUGUUUAUGGGACAAUUCUAUGAAAUUUUACUACGUGUAGAAUUGUGUAAGCACCGCCAAAAUCAGGGCACAUAGCCAUAUGAAAGAACAUAUCCUGAUAAGGCUGCUUAGCCCUGAAUUUAGGUGAUCUCAUCUCCCCUCAAGACUGAAGACACCAAGAUGAGAGGUUUACAGGGACAUGUUGCUACACUAGAUGCCUGGAACCAUUUUCCUAAAUCUGGGAUCACCUAGAUUCUGGAGAAUGGAGAAAGCCCAUAUGACUAAGACCACCACAGAUAAACAAUCCUUUCCUAGAAAUGAAAGCAUCCCUCAGCCAUAAAGAUUCCAGAACGGCAGGACAGAGAUAAUGAUCAACUGGACCCCAGCUAAUUCUUGAAAACUGUCCACUUACCUUUACCAGUGGGCCACUCUGAACCCUGUGUCACAGUGUGCCUCUUCCACCUACUUAAGCUGGAGUCCUUCCCUAUCUUCUAACUUUCCAAUUAAAUCUUUUCCCCUCUGUGGUUUUAAUUUCUGUUUCUACUAAAGCCAGGACCCAGGCUAGCCAGCAACACAACUUUAGUAAUUAGAGAAAAAUGUAAAGUACCAUUAUUAUUACCAGAUUAAAAAGUUAUUUAUUGCAAGCAGUAGUAGCUGAAAUAUUAGUUUACUAUAAAAAGUAUUAAAGUAGUACACGAAUGAUUAUCUUUUUAAAGUUUAAAUUCAAAAGUGAAAUAUUGUUUAAUAAAUUACAAUGCAUACUUCUAAAAUAUAAGAACUGUAACACUAGAGAAAAACUGUAUUAGAUAUUAGCAAAUAGAAUUAUAAAGACUAUUUUUCAAAGGUUGUGUUUUUAGCUGAGCAUGGUGGUACGCACCUGUAAUCCCAGUAUUCUGGAGACUGAGGCAGGAGGAUCACUGCAAGCUUAAAGCCAGCAUGGACUACACAGUGAGUUCAGGGGCAUCUAGAAUAUAUAGCAAAGCCCUGCCUUAAAAAAAAAAAGUAUUUUUAGUAGAGAGAAGAAUCUUGUUAACCCUCCACAGUACAGCCCUGAAUAAAAGGCUGAGGUAACAAGUAAAUGCCUGUGGAAUGUUAAUGUUAGUCCAGCAAAUGGGAGCCAUUUCUUUUGUUCUUAAUGACUUUGUACAGAAAACAAGGUUGGACUUUAAAAAAAUUAAAAUAAAAAAACAAUGGGGAGAACAGAGACAGCUAAUAUAAAUGACCAGAUGCAAAUAACCUCGGGGAAGGGGAAAAGGAGCAAUGAUAAUGUAGAACUGAGGCAGAUGAUCAAAGUGAACAGACUAAUUUUCAGAUUCAAAAGCAGAUCAUCCGAAAAGAAUUGAAAAAGAUAGGCUCUGACAGACUGUGACUAAAAAUAAUUAGAUUAAGGGUUUACUUCCAUCUGAUAAGGUCAUAUUUCUCAGUUAUGCUAUCUCCAUAUAAGGAGGUAAAUCGUGUUUAAUGACAAAGGACUUGGGCUCAGUCGGAAUUCUAAUUGGAAUUCCAGUUCUAACACUUCAGGCUAGUAACAUGGUGAGCAACCAAUCUGAUAUCUCACAGUUUCAGUAUCUACCUCAGCAAAGUGUGUAGAAAAGUAGUACCUGCUUCAAGGAUAAAUGGACAUGUUUCCCAUUUCUGCAGCUAACGCUGCAGGACUUUCUUGAAUUUAAGCCAACUUCACAACAACCUAUGGAGCCCUUUCAAGCCUUUUCUCCUCGGGAGUUAGACGUGUGUCUCUGUAUCUCUGAUUAUUCACUUCCAACUCCAUCUGCUAAAAUACUGCUCUUCUAAUAAUUUCACUUCUUCCUAGAUUCCAUUGCUGCUGUACUUCGCCUGCAAGAUAGGAUGCUUUAGAGUACUGAUGUGAUCUGAAACAAGCUUCAGUUUUCCUUGGCCAUUUGGACAAUGCCAACCUACCUCUACAGGAGCCUGCCCUCUGCUCAUAUCAGUUUGCCAACUCAUUCUUGCUAGCUUCUGAUACCUUGCUUUUCCUUUUCAAACUUAUUAAUAUUUCUCAUGUUCCUCAAAGCCAAGCCAGCCUGAGUUAUGGUAUAGAAAACAUGGGGAUGUUAAGAUAAGAAAUUGGGCCUUGGAUGUCAUAUGGCGCAACAGUAUUAUUUGCCCUACUUACUUAUUGCACAGGUUUACUGUGAAGUGGGAGUCUAUAUACAAAGUAUAUUUUAAACUAUAAAUUGUAAAAUUAUGACAGCUGAAAUUCCUCUUUUGUUUCCAGUUCUGUCUGACUUUCCAGUCAUCUUUUUUCUCCCUGAUGUGGCUACAUCACUAUAUUUCUCCUCUCUCAUUUUCUUACUCCUUUAUCCUCUUUCUUAUCUUCUAUUCUCACUACCUCCCUCCCUCUUUUAUGCCCUAUCAUCCAGUCUCCAGUACCUCCCUCCUCCCUGGGAGGUUAGUGCCUCUCAGAUACCAGCUGUCACCCUAGUUCCUGUCCUCUCCCUGGCGAGUGUUGGGAUGGGACUAGAAGUCAAGGCUUGGGACACACACCAAAGAUUGAACCAGGACCUUGUGCACGAUAACCAAGCACGUUACCACAACUCAUUCCCCACCCCGCUGCUGCAACAAAUUUAAUGGCAGAAUGGAAAUUGUACUGGCGUCACUGGGUGGGGGAGUGGGGGCCUGCGGGCGCCCUGCGCUCUACCUGGGUUUGGGGCAGGUGCGGUUUGCCCUGUGCAGGACUGGGGCAGGCAGGAGUCGGGCCUGGUCUCAGCUUAAGGUGACAGCGCGUUUUCCUGUCCCGAACUUGGCAGUCCGCACGGCGCGCUCUCAGGAGGAGGUUCGAGGUCUGUAUCUUCGGGGAGAUCCGCGCCCGGAGGAGCCCAACUUCUCCGUGUAGCACAAGGGCAGAAAGGCGAGCCCUCCUACUCUGUCCCCGUCCUCUUUCCUCUUUUGUCAUGCCGUCGCCAUGUAUUCUUGUUUCUGCAGCACAGAACGGGCCCGGGAGCCACACUGGCCAGGCAGGCUCUGGGCUGAGGCCGACGCACACCUUCCCUGUCCCCACACGCGGUGCCAGAGCAACAGCACCGGCGCCUUUCAGCCCCCUAGCGGGCACGUCGCUUAGGCCCACCUCAGCGCAGCGUUGAGCUUUGUGGACGCUGAGGUUUGGGUUUCCAUUUUAGUUCAUAAACAGUUUUGAGGUCUCACUGUAUCUUGGAGGGCGGGUGAUGAGUGACGAAUGGAGAAGGUGGAUGUGCAGCAGGCUUGCUCAGUGCUCCAAGGGGCUCCCAAGGCUCCGUCCAGCUCGGUGACCGCUGUCACACACCAGAGGCCCUGGGGUUGCCUUAGAACUGUGACAUUGCAAGUGUACUGCUUUCCCUGAUGGAAGAAAGAGCCUUUCUGGGGUUUUGUUUUAUUUUAUUUUCUCUUAACCUCCCCAAACCUGGAAGCUGAGCAGGAGAGGCACAGCAGCCCCACCUGGUUCCACCCUAACCGUGGGGGGCGGGGGGGGGGGUUGACUUACUGUCCAACUUUAGGAAAUUAUAAACUAUUAAGAUGUAUAAAAUUAUAUUUUCAAAAUCUGUUUAGUGAUAUAGAAAAAGGAACACAUUUCUAAGUUAAGAAACAGGUCAGAAAACAAAUUUUAUGGAUGUAUUUUGCAUUUGCUUAGAUAAAUGAAUCAAAUACAUGAAAGUAUUUAUAGUGGGUAUCACUGGAUGUUAUGGCUUGUGUCUUGCUGUCCCCCAAAGCCUCAUGCAGUCACAGGUGGGACUUUUUCUGGAAUUGAUUCAUGGUGCAAUUCUAGGUUCAAGGGCACUAGGAUUAAGGGUGUGAGUGCUACUUGCCCUAAGUAGUCUGCAUAAGAUAAAAGGGCCAGAAAGACGCUGUUAAGGCCUCUGUCCUUUUGCUAACUUGUGGCCACCAUGAACUGAGAUACCCCUCUGCCACCCUGCCUUGGAGCCAGCCAAUUAUGGUCAGAAACCUCUACAAACUGUGAGCUGAAUAAACCUUUCCUCUCUUUAACUUUGGGUGUCAGGUAUUUUGUCUCAGCAAUGAGAAAAAAGUAACUAAGACACUAGACAAUGAGAUUAAGGUGGAUUCUAUUGUCUUCUCUAUCCUUUCUUCAUUAUGCAAAUGUUGAAAUACACAAAACACAUUCUUCUGUAAUAAUAGAAAAAGUAGAAAAUGAUUUUGGAUUAAUAAAAACAUCCUCUCCAAAA